UGCCAGGGCUGUGCUACGCCAGCGAUCCCGAGAUGCUCAAAUAUGCUCACUCUGAACGGGGUGAUGCACUGCGACAUGUUCGGAGGGAGGACUGAAUUCCAUGAGAUGAGAAAGCCAUUGAUACAGGCUUUUUCAUGCAAGUUGACUAAUAAACUUCUCAAAGGAUUAUACUAACAUCAACUGCUUUCUCUAGAAUAAUGUACACCAGGAGGCUGAAAACUUCUCGGUGGGCCGCUGGCAGCAGAAUUUAUCACCGGAAGGGAGCCAGCUCUGGCAGGCAGAGCCCUCCAAGAUCUCUCGGGGACGAAGGUUCAGGUUGUCCCGCGACUCGCCCACGGCUGUGUCCCUCAUAAAUGGCAGCAGUGUGACUGGAAUGUGGCUCUUCUCACCUGGAGUCCAGCACGCCCCCAACACACCGCAGUCCACGCUUGCCUGGGUCUCUUCUGUUAUCCUGAAGGAAACGCAGGCGGCCCCAGUCAGACCUGAAACAAGGGGUGGCAGGAGGGCUGUCAGUGCAGGGGCCCCUGGGGCGCUGCACAGGGGGGCACUCCCUGGACGUGAUUUCACAUGGAAUAAGAUGCAAACCUCACAGACCAGCGCCUGGGAAGGAAACAGAGAGGAUGGAAAUGAAAGAUGGAUCUCAAAGCAAUUAACUAGAGAUGAUUUAUACCCAGAAGGGUUGCUGAGGCGGAGAGAAUGAAGCCAGACUCAAAAGACCACAUAAAAUAUGAUUCCAUUUAUAUGAAAUAUCCAGAACAGACAAAUCCCUAGAGAUAGAUACAAAACAGAUUACUGGUUGCCAGGGGCUCAGAAGGCAGGGAGGGAGGAUAGGGAGGGACUGCUUAAUGGGUACAGAUUUCCUUUUAGGGUAAUGAAAAUGUUCUGGAACUAGGCAGUGGUAAUGUUGCACAGCAUUGUGAACCCGCUGAAUGUCACCAGUUUUUAUGUUAAGUGUAUUUUACCACAAUAAAAAAAACAUAGACACAUAUACACACACUUUAAAAAAAUCAUCCUACUGGUUGGUUAAUACCAAUUUCAGUCUCUAAGGUACUUUUGCAACAUAGCUGAUGAAUGGUCAUCCGGAUUGUACCAGAAUAUCCUCACUGAAAAGAAAAUUGUUCAAAAGUAAACAUAUUUCAUUUUUAGGAAGCCCCGAUUAUUAGAAAACUCACUGUUAAAGUGAACUCAAAUCAAUAUUCUUGAGAGAGAGAGGGAGAAAAGAGGUGGCAGUGUGCUGAGUGAUCAGGGUGAAAUUCAGGUAUUUCCCACAUUUGUAUUUGUGCCUUUAGAGAGAGCCCAAUUCUGGUCUUGGGGCGACAGUCUCGCAAAGACAGCUACAUUAAGGUAUCUUCCAGUCUGAAGUGGGGUGGCUACAUUUUCCUGAGCACGUGAAACGAAAAGGCUUGUAUAGAAUUCAGGAGUUAUGUCUGGAAUUAUUCCAGAACUUGGAAUCAUAAACGAUUCAAAAUCUACCCUCAAUGAGCACUGCUAUAGAGGGACAGGAAUCUAGAAAAAUUCUCAGAAUUUUCUACUUGAAGAAAUAACACUACUACGCUCAUUUUAAAAUGAGAGGAUCGUGGGGGAAAAUGCACGAGAAAAACCACAUUACCAGUAAUGUUCUGUGUUUUAUAAACAGAUACAAAAUCAAAAGUCUUUCUAAAAUGAAGCCCCCAAGGGCUUGGAUUUAUAGAAUAUUAUGCAUCCACUUUUCCAAAAACAUGUCUACUGUGUAAAUCCAAACACACGUGCAUUCCCUUUAUUUAUAUGCUAUACCCUAAAU